rnacentral:rRNA from 1 species
UCUUCNCCGCCGGCCGGACCGGCGACACGGUGAGUAACACGUAUGCAACCUGCCCCUGUCAGGGGGACGACCGCCGAAAGGCGGGCUAAACCCGCGUACAUGCCACCGGGGCAUCCCGGAGGCAGGAAAGGCUUCGGCCGGACAGGGAUGGGCAUGCGGUGCAUUAGGCAGUAGGCGGGGUAACGGCCCACCUAACCGACGAUGCGUAGGGGUUCUGAGAGGAAGGUCCCCCACACUGGUACUGAGACACGGACCAGACUCCUACGGAAGGCAGCAG